rnacentral:rRNA from 1 species
AUUGAACGCUGGUGGCAGGCUUAACACAUGCAAGUCGAGCGAGCGGCGGACGGGUGAGUAAUGUCUGGGAAACUGCCUGAUGGAGGGGGAUAACUACUGGAAACGGUAGCUAAUACCGCAUACCAUCAGAUGUGCCCAGGUGGGAUUAGCUAGUAGGUGGGGUAAUGGCUCACCAAGGCGACGAUCCCUAGCUGGUCUGAGAGGAUGACGAGCCACACUGGAACUGAGACACGGUCCAGACUCCGAAGGGAGGCAGCAGUGGGGAAUAUUGCACAAUGGGCGCAAGCCUGAUGCAGCCAUGCCGCGUGAGUGAAGAAGGCUUUCGGGUUGUAAAGCACUUUCAGCGAGGAGGCGUUAAUCACAGAAGAAGCACCGGCUAACUCCGUGCCAGCAGCCGCGGUAAUAC